CUAAACCUUGGAAACAAGUGUAUUAAACCAGAUUUUAAUUCAAAAGGAACCGAAACAUCAUAAUAUUCAAUACAAAAGUCAUUAUAAUUAACAUCAGGAGCAGCAAACUGCCUUAAUGUUCUUUGAUCAUCCAUGUAAUAAAAAAAAAACACAGAAAUACCAACUAUGUCCGAAAUAGACAAAAACAAAUACAAAGAAGAAAAACGAUUAAAAUAAAUUCAGAAAAAUAUAAAAACACCAAACUUAAUCUAAUGACGUGAAAUAAA
rnacentral:lncRNA from 1 species